UACGAAGGGAGCUAGCGUUGUUCGGAAUCACUGGGCGUAAAGCGCACGUAGGCGGACGUGUCAGUCAGGGGUGAAAUCCCGGAGCUCAACGUUCGGAACUGCCUUUGAUACAGCACGUCUUGAGUCCGGAAGAGGUGGGUGGAAUUCCUAGUGUAGAGGUGAAAUUCGUAGAUAUUAGGAAGAACACCGGUGGCGAAGGCGGCCCACUGGUCCGGUACUGACGCUGAGGUGCGAAAGC
rnacentral:rRNA from 1 species